rnacentral:tRNA from 1 species
AGUAAAAAUAUAUUGGCAAGCAUAUUGGAUUUCCAAUCCAGAGGUUGUGAGUUCGAUUCUCGUACUA